AGAGCCUGAAGGAUCUUCCAUAGUGGUGUGUGCUGUCAGAUGUCUUAAAGUCAAGUGGGGAGUUCAAAGGUCAAAAUAUUGUUAACUAAACAGAUUGACUGACAUCUGCUAAAUGUGAUGUGAAGGUCAAGGUUAUUUCAAUCAAACAGCUGCCACAGAUGACCAUAAGACUACAGUAAAGGCCAGUAGAGAUCUGUCAAAUCAAGUUACAGGAAUUAACUUGGAUAGUCUAGAUGACCACAACAGUAUGGCCAGUGGAGAGGAUAGUCUAGAUGACCACAACAGUAUGGCCAGUGUAGAGGAUAGUCUAGAUAACCACAACA